rnacentral:rRNA from 1 species
UACGUAGGGGCCAAGCGUUGUCCGGAUUUAUUGGGCGUAAAGGGCGCGUAGGCGGCCUGGCAAGUGGAAGGUGAAAUCCCUCGGCUUAACCGAGGAACUGCCCUCCAAACUGCUUGGCUUGAGACCGGGAGAGGUGAGUGGAAUUCCCAGUGUAGCGGUGAAAUGCGUAGAUAUUGGGAGGAACACCAGUGGCGAAGGCGGCUCACUGGACCGGUACUGACGCUGAGGCGCGAAAGCGGUGGGGAGCAAACAGGG